CUCCUAAUGAAUGUCAUGGAGUCACCCUGCUUUGCAGUGAGAAGACAGAUAGGUUAGGAACAAGGAUUCAAGAGAAAUGCACUCAUCAACCAGCAAGGCAGGAACUAGAAGCCAAGGUGGGGGAUUCCCUGCUGAUGCUCCAGGCUUGGAAUGACC
rnacentral:lncRNA from 1 species